UACGUAGGGGGCAAGCGUUGUCCGGAAUUAUUGGGCGUAAAGCGCGUGUAGGCGGCUCGGUAAGUCUGCUGUGAAAGUCCAGGGCUCAACCCUGGAAUGCCGGUGGAUACUGUCGAGCUCGAGUCCGGAAGAGGCGAGUGGAAUUCCUGGUGUAGCGGUGAAAUGCGCAGAUAUCAGGAAGAACACCCGUGGCUAAGGCGGCUCUCUAGUACGGUACUGACGCUGAGACGCGAAAGCGUGGGGAGCGAACAGG
rnacentral:rRNA from 1 species